UAUGGAGUGGUUGAAAAACGAGUUUUAAUGACUCCAACCUAAGUGUAUGUAAACUUCCGAAUUCAACUGUACAUGCCCACUUUUGCCGAUGAUGCCCAAUUGCCCAGAGACAACACAUUGUGGUCUUUCCCCAGCUGCCAUGUGGACAUUUGUUGUCAAGUUUGCCUAUGGGUGCCACGCACGCACAUUUCACUCGGCAAAUUGGAGGGAUAAUUGGCUUCCAUAAAGUUGAUGCAAACCUCCAAUGUAUUUCAACAAUAUUGCCAAAUGGCCAGGAAUGGAUUACCUCCGACACGGUCACUUCUGCCGCAUGUCAACCGUGUAACCGCUGAUGUUGGCUACGUACAAAACCUACCAUAUCAGGAGCCGUUACAGAAGGCUGAGGCAGUGGCCAGACACCAGUCCUGCUUCAGAGUAAUGGAGGACACUUGAAUAAGUAUGUGUGUCUUGUAUGUUGUAAGGAGGUGCCCCCUUCCACUGUGCCAAUGGACUACUCCUGGGCCUGAGUGAGUAAUGUCAACCAGUCAGUGCCAUGCUGGCACGUGUCCCUUGUGAAUUAGCUGUGAAUCAUAAUCUCUGAUUGGCUAUGUUCAACAGUGUAUUUACUGUUGGCUUCAAUGACUGUAUGGUGACAGACUUUCUCUCUCCCUCCCUCUGUGAUAUACGAGCUGGGUCAGAUAUAGGAGCCUAAGUCAGGCUCCUUUAUGACCAGUAUCUGUGAGGAGGGACCUGGAGACGAUCUACGCUGCCAUAGACAUCAGGUGGAAGACAGAAAGAGGUGCUUUUGAAAUGGAGUCCUCAGGUUGAUACUGAUGUCUGAACCGGGACAGAGAUCUUGCACUCAGCAUUCAAAUUAUACAAGAUAUCUAUUACUUGUUGUGGUCUUUUGUUAUUAUUGAAUCGGACUGUACUAUCCAUGUGGGACACACACACACCAUACAGAAAUGUAUAAUAUUUGCACAUUGUUAUAUUAGCAGAACACUGCUUCUAUAGUGUUAUGUGAAGUAGGGUUUAUUCUACAUGGAACUGUUACACUUGAACGUUAUCUACGUAAGUGGCUCUGGAUAAGAGCGUCUGCUAAAUGACUAAAAUAUCAAAUGUAAAUGUAAGUUCAGCAAUUGCACUCCUCUACUAUUACUGAUUAGGCUACUAACCUUCUGGAGGAAGCUUUGAAUUGGUCAGUAGCCUACAGAGUGGUAUGAGAAGUGCGCCAUUCUCCAGUAGUUAUUGAACUCUGCCUACUGGACCCAUGGGUUGAAGCAAACUCUGUCACAUCCGGGAUGGAGUGUCAUGCACUCCACUUCUCCUGUCCCCUGACUGCACCUGUCCAAAACUUCUAAAACAUUACAUAGAUGGAAGGGACUUCAAGUCUCCAGUGGGUGAUGAAGACAGAACCUCACCCAGAGAGCUGUACAUCUCAGAUUUGGACAAAUAGAAUGCUGUUCUGGUUAGACAGCUGAAGUUGUACAAUACAUACAACAUAUUUUUUAUUUGCUAGGCAAGUGUAGGCAUACAGUCUUAAUCAGCACAUCAAUAUGAUAUUUACGGCAUAAAAUGUUUUGUCUUUGGAACAGAAACACACAAUUUUGUUGUUGAUAAAUGUAUCUACACUCAAGCUUGGCGAUAUUUGUGCGAAGUUGACAUGUAGCCUACACCUGUUGGGAUAUUAGUAGAUCUAACAGCAGGCAUAAGGAGAGACAAGACGAGAAAUAUUGUGCCAGUUAAAGAACUAGUGUUGUAGGAGAGCUGAGCUGACUCAAGACCGGGCAUUGAACUCACAGUUGACACCAUUUCCACAGUAACAUGUCUUUACAUGAAGUGAUGAAACAUUGAAACCAAGUUGCAAGCUAUUUUGGUAGCAAGGUGUUCUAGAACAAGUGUCUUGUGAAACGCAUACCAGACACUGGCUGUUGCUAUCUUGCCUUAAACUGAUUUCACAGAGAAAUAUCAGCUCGAUAGACUAGACAGCUACAGCUAUCCCCAAGCUAUACUAGCUAGCUGCUGUCAGCUUGGCUAAACAAGGUCAGCCCAGGCUUUAGCCUACACAUAGAACUGAAUUAGCUGACCACCUUGAGAUAACAAGUCAGUCAGGGGGAGAAGUCCUUCACUUCAGCAUUUCGUUCUCUCCAUAACAAAACUAGCUUAGCUUACCUCACUACUGCCUUGUUUGUUGUGAUUGAAUGGAUGGCAAAGAAACACCCACAUCAAACCACUCCCCCAAGACAACUCUCGUUUGGAUCCAGUCAUGGCCGCUAACAUUUUAUUAGACCAAACUUCAAAACGAGGCCAAAUCAGGAAGUUCAGUCGAUCUUUAAGUUUAGGAUGAUACAAUGUUUCUGUGGGGCUCAAUUGUGGGUUGUGUGUGUGUGUGUGUGAUAGCUAUGGGGAGGGCGUCAUAGCUGUUCCCAUUGGUGACGAAUGCAUGCCUCCGCACUGACAGGAGAGGCUUGAGCACGUUUGUGGGAAUGUGGUGCAGCAGAGAGGAGGAUCUCAGAUUGGUUACGUAACGGACAGCAGCACAACUUUCUAAUCCCGUUAGUCUAUGUACGGGGAGAAGAGGGGUAUGUGGUCCCCCAGGAGUGUCUGACUGCUGAGGGACUUGUGGUGCGGCUGUAAUGGCCAUCUGAUCACUGUUCAGCCGUGAUGAGUCUGUCAGAGAGGGUAGCUCGGCUUUCGACGUCUCUGGUGGCAACAAGUUAAACAGAAAUACACAUACACAAACGUAUGCCUGCACGUACACACACACAUGUAUAUAAAUCCAUAAAUAGAGAUAAGAAUGCUAAAAUAUUCAUAAUCACAUGAUGCUAGUACACUCACAUACAGAUACAUAAAUUCACCAAUACUUUUGCAAAUAUACUCACACAAUCACUGAUACACAAUAUAUAUACAGAGACAAAUAAAUGACCACAUACACACCAACCAGUACAAACACACUUAAACUUAAAAGAUACAAAUCACACAUUAUUGUGCACGUUACAAUACAGUUGAAUUAAACAGUAAUUUAAUAAACAUUAACUCAAUGCAACAGCUAAUUUAAAGAGUUUGUGACAGUGGAACCGCAUUUCUCCGACUUCCCCCCUAUAGUCAGUCAGGUUAAAACAUUCAAUUACCAUCAUCUUGGAAGCCAGACUUAACCCCAGUGUCAAACAGCAGCUUUUUUAAGGCUCUGCUACACAAUCCUUCAUCAUCACUCUUAUGGGCCGGAGCACAAAUCUU